UGGGGAAUUUUGGACAAUGGGGGAAACCCUGAUCCAGCCAUCCCGCGUGUGCGAUGAAGGCCUUUGGGUUGUAAAGCACUUUUGGCAGGAAAGAAACGUCAUGGGUUAAUACCCCGUGAAACUGACGGUACCUGCAGAAUAAGCACCGGCUAACUACGUGCCAGCAGCCGCGGUAAUACGUAGGGUGCAAGCGUUAAUCGGAAUUACUGGGCGUAAAGCGUGCGCAGGCGGUUCGGAAAGAAAGAUGUGAAAUCCCAGAGCUCAACUUUGGAACUGCAUUUUUAACUACCGGGCUAGAGUGUGUCAGAGGGAGGUGGAAUUCCGCGUGUAGCAGUGAAAUGCGUAGAUAUGCGGAGGAACACCGAUGGCGAAGGCAGCCUCCUGGGAUAACACGGACGCUCAUGCACGAAAGCGUGGGGAGCAAACAGG
rnacentral:rRNA from 1 species